rnacentral:siRNA from 1 species
CACGGUUGCGACUCCAGGUGUAAC